rnacentral:lncRNA from 1 species
AGGAAGGAAGGAAGGAAGGAAGUCUGGAGUGUCCCUGUGCUGUUUCUAGUGUAAAUGAGUUACCAUAAGAAGCAGCAGCCGCCACCAUGAUUGACGACCCAACAUGCACUGCUCUCCUCCACCGCAGUGGGGGCCAAACUUCCAGGAAGCGUCUUCACCUAAGAAAGUGGGAAUGCAACAACGGGCAUGAGAGAGAAGAGCAGCUAGGAGGAGGAGGAUGAAGAGGAGGAGGAAGAGGAGGAGGACGAUGAGGAGGAAGAGGAGGAGGAAGAGGAGAAAGAGAAAGGGGGAGUGUAGUACCAGACCAGAACCUGUCACACUCAGACGCUCGACAGACAGCUGACCGUGCGACUCGCCCUGCUGGUAUCUGGUAUCAGAGUAAAAUUUGUCAAGUCAAAGACACAGGUCUGUCCAGUUUAAACCUGGCUACCACCUUCACCUCCCUCUCAAUUCAAUUCAAUCUCUCUCUCCCUCUCUCUUUCUCUCUCUCUCUCCCCCCUCUCUCUCGCUCUCUCUCUCCCUCCCCCACCUCUCUCUCUCUCUCUCUCUCUCUCCUCUUUUGAAAGUGACACACGAGUCUAUCCUGUCUAUAGAUAGCCCACCAGGUCAGCUGGGAUAGGCCAGUCCCAUGCCCUCACAUUCACUGGUGUAAUUUAACCCCACAGUGCCAGUAUCAGACCACUCUAAACCACUAAAACCUCACCUGUCUCCUUCAAACCACAGACAUGUCCUUUAGAGUCACAAGUAGUCCAUCAAGCAGUAGUAUCCAUGACCGUGUAGAGAACUGAACCCUGAUGUUACGAU